AUAGUUUAGUCAAAGUGGAGAAUCUGGAGGCUAACACAGAAGGGUAAAGGAAGUCUCCAUAAAACCCAGAGAGGAAAAAUGCACCUCCUCUUUGGAUCCUGUCUGGAGUCACAGAU
ensembl:snoRNA LOC120094013 small nucleolar RNA SNORA26